rnacentral:rRNA from 1 species
AGGACGAACGCUGGCGGCGUGCUUAACACAUGCAAGUCGAGCGGAAAGGCCCUUCGGGGUACUCGAGCGGCGAACGGGUGAGUAACACGUGAGUAACCUGCCCUAGGCUUUGGGAUAACCCUCGGAAACGGGGGCUAAUACCGAAUAUUCAUUUCCGGCGGCAUCGCUGGUGGUGGAAAGUUUUUCGGCCUGGGAUGGGCUCGCGGCCUAUCAGCUUGUUGGUGGGGUGAUGGCCUACCAAGGCGACGACGGGU